rnacentral:rRNA from 1 species
AACGUAGGACGCAAGCGUUAUCCGGAGUUACUGGGCGUAAAGCGCGGGCAGGCGGUCGGUCAAGUCUGAUGUGAAAUCUCUCCGCUCAACGGGGAGCAGCCAUUGGAAACUGGGCGACUGGAGUCUGACAGAGGUAGGCGGAAUUCCGGGUGGAGUGGUGAAAUGCGUAGAGAUCCGAAGGAACACCAGAGGCGAAGGCGGCCUACUGGGUCAGUACUGACGCUGAGCCGCGAAAGCCAGGGGAGCGAACGGG